rnacentral:rRNA from 1 species
GUAGGUGGCAAGCGUUGUCCGGAAUUAUUGGGCGUAAAGCGCGCGCAGGCGGUUCUUUAAGUCUGAUGUGAAAGCCCACGGCUCAACCGUGGAGGGUCAUUGGAAACUGGAGAACUUGAGUACAGAAGAGGAAAGCGGAAUUCCACGUGUAGCGGUGAAAUGCGUAGAGAUGUGGAGGAACACCAGUGGCGAAGGCGGCUUUCUGGUCUGUAACUGACGCUGAGGCGCGAAAGCGUGGGGGAGCAAACAGGAUUAGAUACCCUGGUAGUCCACGCCGUAAACGAUGAGUGCUAAGUGUUAGGGGGUUUCCGCCCCUUAGUGCUGCAGCUAACGCAUUAAGCACUCCGCCUGGGGAUACGGCCGCAAGGCUGA